rnacentral:rRNA from 1 species
AUUGAACGCUGGCGGCAGGCUUAACACAUGCAAGUCGAGCGGAGAGAGGUAGCUUGCUACUGAUCUUAGCGGCGGACGGGUGAGUAAUGCUUAGGAAUCUGCCUAUUAGUGGGGGACAACAUUUCGAAAGGAAUGCUAAUACCGCAUACGUCCUACGGGAGAAAGCAGGGGAUCUUCGGACCUUGCGCUAAUAGAUGAGCCUAAGUCGGAUUAGCUAGUUGGUGGGGUAAAGGCCUACCAAGGCGACGAUCUGUAGCGGGUCUGAGAGGAUGAUCCGCCACACUGGGACUGAAACACGGCCUAGACUCCUACGGGAGGCAGCAGUGGGGAAUAUUGGACAAGGGGCGCAAGCCUGAUCCAGCCAUGCCGCGUGUGUGAAGAAGGCCUUAUGGUUGUAAAGCACUUUAAGCGAGGAGGAGGCUACUUUAGUUAAUACCUAGAGAUAGUGGACGUUACUCGCAGAAUAAGCACCGGCUAACUCUGUGCCAGCCGCCGCCGUAAAAC